UUAUAUUAGUAACAGUAAGAUAAAAUAUGAAAAUUAUGCAUGAAUCUAUUUACUUUAUAUACUCCAAUGGGAAUAUUGACACACAUAUAUUGUCAUUUUCAUUCCCAUCUUUUUUUCCACCUGUUUUGUUGUCGCCAAGCAGCUUAUAUGUCUCUGUUUGAAAGAUGCAAAAUAUAAUAAUGAAAUGGCGGCAUAACACCUUAGUUACCUUUGUCUAUCGGAUGGGUCAUCUGUUUGUUGAACCUGAAUACGCCCAUGCAAUUAAUCUGUAUACACUAAGACUAUAAACCUGUAUGGAAUUCAGGUCGUGUUAUUGUACAAAUGUUAUUUGGAUUCCAGUAAGUAAUAGAUUUUGCUCCACAAAAAAACACAGACUGCAAUAGUGACAAAACUUAAUUAAUAGGCAUAAUUACAUCUAUGAACUAUUUUGAUUUAAAAACCAACUACUGGCAAAAAAAUACAACUGAUUUAAUAACUUCUGCCUUUUUUUAAAUUGGUUAAUCAAGCUUUUUCUAAAUAUUUUUUAAAUGUUAAUAAUUUUGAAUUGAUAUUAUUGAAAUUUACAUUUGUUUACUGAAAAAAAAACUAAACUUUUUUCUAGGACAUGGUAAAAGAAGAUUUCAGUUAAUAACAAUCUUUUCGGAUACCAGGACUAAAAAUAGCGGAAUAACUAAAAACACUUUUUUGCGAGACUCUGUCGUGUUUAUAGAAUUAUACAGAAAUAUAAAAACUUUAAUCUCAAAUAUUAUAAUAUAAAUGUUACAAGAUCUAUUACGGAUAUUAAAAAGGCGUGACUAUUUGAAUAAAUAGAUUUAUCUAAAUAUGGUUUUCUAUAAAUUAUUAUAGUGUAUACUGAGUGUGUAUAUAAAUACGUGUAUUGAACGUCUAUCACAAUAAUAAGGAAUUGAAAGAAUAAAGGUUCUUUUAUUUGAUUUAUUAUACACAUUCAGACAGUAAUUUUGAAUUACACGUCGAUGUAAGUGUAUGAUUGAUAGCUAUCUAUACUUAUAUAUAACAGUUAUUUGUGGUUAGUAUUUGCGUAGGUAGGUAAAUAUCUACACUUACGUAAGCACCACAGAUAACUGUUUUGCUUGUUCAACAUUAAAAAUAUAAGCAUACCAUCAUAAUGGAAUGGUGAUAAUAAAUACGCAGACCCACGAAGGCUGUGCACAAUUGAAAAUAUUCCGUCGAACAAUCAAGAUAGCCCGCCCAUUGUUAGUCACGCUACGCGAAAACAUUGUUGUCAGCUGAAACCUCCGUCUACUGAGAGGAAAGUGUAAAACAUUUAUUUACGUUCAAUAAACGUCAAUAUCAACAAUAUUCAUUUUAAAUUAUGAAACAACGUUUUAUGAUUAUAAUUUGGUUUCAUUGAAGAAGAAUUCAUUUCAUGAGUCAAAACAUAUUGCACAAUGACAGGACUUACAAGCAGUAGCUAAAGAUUAUGCAGUUCACGCAGACGAAGUUCCAGGAUUAGUGACUAACAUAUAAAAGCGAAGUAUCGACAAGUUAUAAGCAAGCGAGGUUCUCGAGAGGCAACUUCUUACAGGCAAAUGCUAUCUAGGAAGAUCCUCUUGACUUGAAUGUGUGAUAGUCAAGGGACUCGGCUGCUCAUGAUUGCUUCUUAUGGGAGUCAGUGAAUACAGACGGCUCAGGAUCGUUCCUUAUGGCAGUCUAUGGGGGAGACCUAUAUCCAGCAGUGGACGGAGUCCAGUACCUGUUAUUAUUGCAUAAAACAAUAACAGUAAUAACAGAUAUUAUGUUUGUCCUGUUAUAACCCACGCUAAUAUUACUUAUAGUAAUGUGUUUAACCAAUAUGAUUAUUAAUGAGUAUCAUUAUGAUAUCACUGUUCGAAAUGCAUGGUUGUGUUUCGGUUUGAAGAGUGGGA